rnacentral:lncRNA from 1 species
GGGGGAGUUCUGAUAUGCGUCCUUGUCCUCAAAGGUGCAUCACUGAUCCAUCGGAAGUAAAAUGUGAGACUUCUCCCUCCUCCUUGAAUUCUGCAAUCAGGCGGCUGACAGGAGGCUGAGGAUGAGAUGUGAAGGCAGAGCGGUGUGCGUGUGGGGAGGAGAGUGGAGCUCCUCCUCCCUGCCCAGAAGAGGGAGGAAGCGAGGGGUGUUUCGUAGAGUGUGGUUUGGAUACUUAUGUCUCCUAGUUCUGAGAAACUUAGUGGACGGACAGAGGGAAGGACGCAGAGACUUGCCCUAGUGUCUCCUAGGUGGACUCAGGGACCCCCCAUGGCCACCUUUGCGUUCUUCCUGAGAUUGUCAUCACUCACACAGGACUGUCCCAGGAUCAAUGCGUCCUUGGGCGGGUGCAGGGUGGAAGAGAUGUGGUCAGAGGGGACUGUCAGCCUGCAGUCCUGCCUUUCGGCCCUCCCACUGUGGCCCCAAUGCCCCCUUUCUCACACCACGCUUUCACUUUUCAGUUCCAGGACCGAAUCCGUCCCUUGAAGCUCUUGGCCUGCAUCCCCCGAGGGCUGCCUGAAUGCCCCAGGGGAGUUGAGGACCCUUGCUUUGGGGUCACAUCCCUUGUCUGGGCGUGGUUGUCUCUCCUCUGCUCUUGCUCCUCUCUCACAGGGAUCGUUGCUACCUCCUCUGAGGGCUGUGUAUGGCCUUGGCCUGUCCGGCGCUCCUCACUUUGCCCUGCUAACAGCUGCCCACCGGCCUUGGGGCCCACGCCUUUGCCGGGAGGAGGCUCUGGGACAGGAGAAAGCUCAGGCGCAGCAUGGGCCCUCCUUAUCUCACGUGGGCUGGGUGGAAAGGCAAUGCAUGCUCGUGGCUGGGAGUUGCGUAGAGUGAUGGAUGUACUGACUCAUGCGCCCACCAGAUGCAAGAGAGCAACAUGGCCCCACACAGCAAAGACAGCAGCACUCGGCUCCGGUCCCACCUUCCCAACAGUUGUGGGGGAGCUCUUAAGGCCUCUACUGGACUUUCUGGUCAAUGGCAGCUCCUUUGUGAGCAUAUCAGGAUGAGAUGCUCCUGUACGUUCUUCUCUGCCUGACGCUCCCGUCCUCUCCUUUCUCCACCCAGAAACUCCAUCUCAUCCUUCAAGGCCUGGCUCAUGCACAUUUUCUUCCAAGAUUCCCUCCCUGAUGUGCGGUGAGGUCUCCCCUCUAACUUUGUGUACAGACUCCUCCGUUCCAGGGGGCCAUUCAGUAGAAGAGGCCUGCCUCUGCUUCACAGUGAGAGGACACGGUGCAGGGCUGCAGGCUCAUUUAUUUUCCACAUCUGUUUAGAAACAUCUUCUUUUAUUCUUCAAAAUGCUUUAUCUGGAAUAUGACACUUUUUAAAGACUCAUGUCUCCCUAAAUCACUCUUGAUGCUGCAUUAUUAUUAUUUUUUGAGGAAGAUUAGCCUUGAGCUAACAUCUGUGCCCAUCUUCCUCUAUUUUAUAUGUGGGACGCCUGCCACAGCUUGAUAAGCAGUGUGUAGGUCCACACCCAGGAUCCGAACCGGCAAACCCUGGGCCGCUGAAGUGGAGCCAGUGAACUUAACUGCUAUACCACCGGGCCAGCCCCUUGAUGCUGCAUUUUUGACCAACGUGAGAAAAAUGCAGAGGCCAUACAGCGAUUCGUGUCUUGUCUUCAGUCUGGCUGAGCAGUGGCAUGUAGGCCCCCUGCCAGCUCUCCCACACACCCGCAUCUCGCCCUUCUGCAUCUCUGUCCACUCUGCCUUCAGAACGUGUCUAUUCUGUCCAAGCCUCACCUCUCCCCAGGACAUCCCAAAUCCAACUAGCAAAAGCUUUCACCUCUGCCUCACAGGGAGGGGUAGAUGUGCCCCUGGCCUUGCUGUGGCUCCUGAGGACAGAGCUGAGAUGUCAGUGGACUCAAGGACCCAGGGAUGUGGCAACAGGAGUGACACACAGACGUCCCCAAGGUGAGGCUUUCCUGGAGAGCCAUGGAGGCUCAGGCACAAGGCACAACAGCUGGGAGCAAGGCCCCUGUGCCCGGGGAGAAGCUCCUGGCUGUCUCUGCCCCAGCCAGCCCAGCUCACCACUGACAGGCUGGACUUCAUGACCUCCGAGGUCAGCUUGUAGAAGCACCCCCGGUUCUGGGUGGUGUGAAAGGUAAUAAACAGAAAUCUCAUUUCAAAUGGAGUCGGGAGGACAGAAAGGGGAGCUCCUACACCCUACCACUCCAUGUCAAUCGCAGACCCGACAGGAAGAAGCCUGCUUUGCUACCCCAGCAGAGGGAGAUUUUCUCCCAGCUCGGCAACAGCCCAGCCAGUGGAGACUGUCACAGCUCAGCCAGUGAAGAGCUACCAGGCUUAGGCUCCCAGCUUCCUCCAGUGGACUCUGUUUACAACAGCCCCUCCCAGCUCCCUUCUCCUCCGUAAAAGAACAGACCUCUCCUUUGUUCUCCAGACUUGCUUGUGGUUCGCCGUAGGUUGCAUGUCUCAGAUUGCAAUUCUUUGCUGUUCUCAAAUAAACUCAUUUUUGCC